rnacentral:rRNA from 1 species
AUAAUGCAGCGGCUCGACAUCGAGACAGUUCUAAGAGAGUAAAGAGGCGCCUGAAGAGGAGCCUGCGUCUGAUUAGCUUGUUGGUGAGGUAAUGGCUCACCAAGGCUACGAUCAGUAGCUGGUCUGAGAGGACGGCCAGCCACAAUGG